rnacentral:lncRNA from 10 species
GUGAGUCCAUUAAACCUCUUUCCUUUAUAAAUUACCCAGUCUUGGGUAUGUCUUUAUUAGCAGCAUGAGGAUGGACUAAUACACCCCAUUAGAAAGUAAAUUCCUUGAGGGCUGGGAUUCAUCUGCCAUGUUCAGUGCUGUACUCCCAGCAUUUGCAACCAAGCCUGGCACAUAACUCCAAGGCUGAAGCAUCCUUCAGGUGCUUGCAAAACUGAACUCUCUCUAAGUUUUCCAAGAGAGAAGAUCAUGGAUACCAACUCAGGGGCUCUGUGACCAACUUUGGAGGCCUGUCCUGCAGUGCAGCUCCCAGUCUGACCACAGAUCCUAGGACCUCAAACUGUCUUCCUCCAUGUGCCCUCCACGUCUCUCUUGUGCUGGGAUUUGCGUGUGUGUUGGGAACCAUUCAGAAUGCUUUCUUGGCAUGUUGACAAUGAAGGGAGCUCUCUCUGGGCCAAAGCUUGCACUGGGUCACUAUCGGCCAAACGCAACCAGAGCACACCCACCCAUGGGAGCCUGUUGGUGGAGCCCAUGCAGUUUCGCAUCUGCACAAGGCUGGCCUCCUGCAGGCAACCCUUCAAGGCUGCCCUUUCCUGGGUCAUCGUAUGUUCAGCGUGAGAGAUGCCAUUCCAAAGGUUCAGAGCCGUGUGGCCUGUGGACUUGGGGGUGGGGGACACACCCCCUCCUUCCCUCAACCUCCCUCCCACCGCCUGCUGCCAAGGGCCGCCAAGAGAAAUGUGGGCAAACCACACGGACCACCCCAGGCCUCCCAAGGGCACUUGGGGGUGAUGCCAGCCCCAGGAAGGAGUCCUCAAUAAAGAUCCAAGGUGCUAACAAGAAGAUGUCAAUCCAUUAACUCCACUUGAAGGGAAGAAAAAAAAUGUCAAUUACUGGUAAUGUGAAACAAAAGAGUGGGAAAUCGCAAAUGACAGUCUUUUUAAGACGGCCCUAGGGCCACUUCCAGCUGACCCUGUGCAUUAACCAAGCAGGGAGAUUUUUUUCCUUGGCUGCUCCCUCCUGCGUCCCUAAUAGCAUAAAAUAAAAAGAUUUUAGAUAAGAUUUCAUUCUGUGAAUCAAUUGGCAAACCACACUGGGCUUCACGGGGCAUUCUGGUCUCAAUCUAAUGGAAAUUAUUAUUUUUUAAAACGGGAAUAUCAAUACUAAAUUGGAUCCUAUAGCAGACAGCAUAUACAAAGGUUUUAUAUCAGCUGGCUUCUCUGGCUUCCACGGAGCUUUGCUUAACCCAGUACCUGCCAGCAUCCCAGGGAAAGGAUGAGAGAAUGCGGUGGGAGAAAAAUAUCCCAAAUCCUUGUUGUGACAGAAUA